GAAUGGCCAUCUCUCAAUAUGAGCCAGUGGCUGAAAUUGGUGUGAGUGCCCAUGGGUCGGUGUACAAGGACUGUGAUCCCCACAGUGGUCACUUUGUGGCCCUCAAGUUCCUAAUGGAAACUCUCAAAAGAGUUCCACUCCCAUAAUACGAUCACCUCUGCUCUCAUUAGAGUUCCCAUUAGAAAUCACUCCCAUAAUACAAUCACCUCCCACCAGGUCCCUCCUUCAACACAUGGGGAUUAAAAUUUGACAUGAGAUUUGGGUGGGGACACAGAGCCAAAUCAUAUCAUCAGCUGAGGCCAUCAAGGAUCUGAUGCACAAGUUUCGAAGAGGCCUAGAUUUUCUUCAUGCCCAUUGCAUUGUUCACUGAUAUCUGAGGCCAGAGAACAUUCUAGUGACAAGUGGUGGGACAGUCAAGCUGGCUGAAUUGGUCUGGCCAGCAUCUAUAGCUACCAGAUGGCGUUGACACCUGUGGUUGUUACACUCUUGUACUGUGCUCACGAGGUUCUUCUGCAAUCUACACAGGCAACAUCUGUGGACAUGUGAAGUGUGUCUUUGCAGAGAUGUUUCCUCAAAAGCCUCUCUUCUGUGGAAGCUCUAAAGCCAACUAGUUGGGCAAAAUCUUUAACCUGAUUGGGCUGCCUCUAUAGGAUGACUGGCCCUAAGAUGUGUCUCUACCCCAUGUAACAUUUCUCCACAGAGGGCCUCACCCAGUGCAGUCGGUGGUGCCUGAGAGGGAGCACAACUACUGCUGGAAAUGUUAUUUUGUCCUACAUAAGCAAAUCUAUGCCUUCCCAGCUCUGCAGCACUUUUAUUUAGAUAAGACUC
rnacentral:lncRNA from 10 species